rnacentral:lncRNA from 1 species
ACUGUUCUGAAUGUAGUCUUCUACCAAGACCUAACUGUUCUGAAUGGAGUCUUCUACCAAGACCUAACUACUCUGAAUGUAGUUUUCUACCAAGACCUAACUGUUCUGAAUGUAGUCUUCUACCAAGACCAAGCUGUAUUAGUAUUACCCUUUGGGACAAGGGCAACUAACAAUGUUAACUGAAGACAUCCGUAGAUGUACAUUUACCUCUGUUGCUAACAGCUGGGUAUAGGAAUAGUCAGUCCCCAAAAGUAUACCUGUAAUGGUAUCAACCGUUGACAUCCAUGGAUGUGCUUUUACCUCUGUAGCUAACAGAGAUUCUAGGAAUGGUCAGUCCCGCAACGUAUCCUUGGGUACUAGGAUAUUAAAUCCAAUCUAUCUCGUCGAUUAUGUGAUUGAAUCACAAGGUAAAGAUAAGAAUGAGGAUUAUAUAACAGAAUCUAUACAUAUAAAAUGUACUAGUA